rnacentral:rRNA from 1 species
UACCUCGAUGGAGAGACGAAGGAACGUAAGUGUCGCCGCCUGACGGAAUAGGUGGUUAAAGGGCGUAGGUAAAGGAGCAGAUUAAGAGUUAGCUACUGCUGAAACCCGACAGUACGGAGCGGCUACGGCCAAUCCGAUAGUGCACCCAAGUAGACUUCCGAGAAAAUCUUCUAAGUUAUAGUGUAUGUUACCCGUACCGUAAACCGACACAGGUGGUCGAGGAGAGUAUCCUAAGGUGCUCGAGUGAAUCACGGUUAAGGAACUAGGCAAAUUAACCCCGUAACUUCGGGAAAAGGGGUCCCUAUGAAAGUAGGGCGCAGCGAAAAGGUCCAGGCGACUGUUUAUCAAAAACACAGGGCUCUGCAAAUUCGAAAGAAGACGUAUAGGGCCUGACACCUGCCCGGUGCUGGAAGGUUAAGAGGGGAUGUCAUCGCAAGAGAAGCAUUGAAUCGAAGCCCCAGUAAACGGCGGCCGUAACAAUAACGGUCCUAAGGUAGCGAAAUUCCUUGUCGGGUAAGUUCCGACCUGCACGAAUGGUGUAACGAUCUGGACACUGUCUCAACCGUGAGCUCGGUGAAAUUGUAGUCCCGGUGAAGAUGCCGGGUACCCGCGACGGGACGAAAAGACCCCGUGAACCUUUACUAUAGCUUAACGCUGAAUUUGGGUACACAAUGUGUAGGAUAGGCCGGAGGCAUUGAGACGGGCACGCCAGUGUUCGUGGAGCCGACGUUGAAAUACGGCCCUUUGUGUACUUGGAUUCUAACCCCUCGAGGGGGACACCGUUUGGUGGGUAGUUUGACUGGGGUGGUCGCCUCCAAAAGCGUAACGGAGGCUUCCCAAGGUGCCCUCAGCACGAAUGGUAACCGUGCGCAGAGUGCAAUAGCAUAAGGGCGCUUGACUGUGAGACCGACAAGUCGAGCAGGUACGAAAGUAGGGUAUAGUGAUCCGGUGGUUCUGUGUGGACUGGCCAUCGCUCAAAGGAUAAAAGGUACUCCGGGAUAACAGGCUGAUCGCCGCCAAGAGCUCAUAUCGACGCGGCGGUUUGGCACCUCGAUGUCGGCUCGUCACAUCCUGGGGCUGGAGAAGGUCCCAAGGGUUCGGCUGUUCGCCGAUUAAAGUGGCACGCGAGCUGGGUUCAGAAUGUCGUGAGACAGUUCGGUCUCUAUCUGUCGCGGGCGUAGGAAGAUUGAGGGGUCCUGACUUUAGUACGAGAGGACCGAGUUGGACGAACCUCCGGUGUAUCGGUUAUGCUGCCAAGUGUACCGCCGAGUAGCCGCGUUCGGUUUGGAUAAGCGCUGAAAGCAUCUAAGCGCGAAGCCAUCCCCAAGAUAAGUCUUCCCUUGAGGGGCGUAGGAGACUACUACGUUGAUAGGCUGCAGGUGUAAAGACAGUAAUGUCAAAGCCGAGCAGUACUAAUUACCC